GCUGCCUCAUCUCCGAUCUGGCAUGAAAACCUUUCACAAUUUCAUUAGCCACGCAAAGUGAAUUGGCCAUCAUGUCUAGCCGACGAAUGAAGCGUGCACCGUUGGCUAUAUUGCACCGCCGGCAUCACCGCACAAUAGUUGGGCUCUUUAAAUCCGCGCUGCAAUGCAAUGAAAGCGAUACUCAAGGUAAACCGCAAAAUGGUCCAAAAACGAUCAGGAAACUAGACGCAGGAAUCGCGAACCGGCUUUCCACUACAAAAGUUUUUCAGUUUCUAGCCAGGGAAACCAAUCCAACUUAAAGAAAAUCAUUUGUGGGACUCGGUUCUAGCUAGAUGUUAAAUUUAGUCUUUAAAAACAGAAUGUCAUACAAUGAUCCAACUAAAUUGGAAGUACACCGAAGCAUUUUAUAACGGCAAGCUAUAUAAAAUGAAUUCUUUCAGAUAAAAAUUGGAAUGAAAAAAAAACUUUCUGACCACGAAUAUUUUUUUUCUGUGUACGCGAACAGAGCGCUCUUGACGAUAACUUUUAACAUUUUGAAUUGUGUUGUGUGCAAGUCUGGCUGCUGGCGUUCACUUCUCAAACAAGUUUUGGGGACUAGCGAACAACCAAACAACUAGCAAGCAACAACCAGCAAGCAACAACCAGCAACCUGGGCUGGCAACACCUUUCUGCAAAGGUAGACAACUUCAACUUACUUUAAUUGCAACAGCCCCAAAAGCAGACAGCUCAACAAUAGCCAAAAGCCUUAAGUCUGUGACUCAAGAAAAGUUAUAAUUAUAGCCACAACGCCGUGCAAUGGUGGUGCACAGGGGGGUGCAGAGUUGCCCCCUUAGACAAGACGGUCUCUUGAUGGUUGGCCCACGUUAUGGAUGAGGUGACAAUGCGCGCAACAUAUUAUUUAUUUGUAAAUGCAUUGAGCGCAAUGAGAAAUACGUAACAUGCUUAGUUCUAGCUACCAAGAAAAGAGAAACUUCCGCAACUUCCUGUUGGUGAUUAAAAAAAACAUAACCUUUUAAUGAGUCUAGUAGGAUAUCGAAUUAACUGUUAUUUUGUGUUAUGUUUUAUGUUACUUAAAUGUUAUGUUGUUGUAGUAAAUGUUAUUAUAUAUUUCUAUAUUUUAUUAUAAGUUCAGAUAAAACGAUAUAUGUGUAUAUAUUAUUAAUGCAAUAAAAACUUCAUUAUCUUUUAUUAUUGCAAAGUACCACAAAUAA